UUCUCUUCAUCUUAAAUCUACAUUCUUUGCGGUUCAAACACAAGAACACGCCAUUCUAACAUCUAACCUGUUCGAGAGAAAGGUUAUUUGUCUAGAAAAGAAGACGCAUAGACCAACGCCAGUCUAACAUCUGACUUGUUCGAGAGACAAGUUAUUUGUCUGGAAAAGAGAUAAUGUCAAGGUAGUAGGACAACCUUUCCUAUUAAAAAGCUAGUGCCGUACCUGGACUAACUUCUUGGAGAAUUCGUACCGUUAGUCACGCUUUAAGCUCGAGAGAGUUAAAGUGAAAUAGUCCUUGUUUAGGUCGAGAGACGCUUGGAUUUACCAUCGACUACAAUUCUCUAUAAGCAAUUACAUGUCAAGACUCUACACACUCAUAGCCAAUAGAGACGUAUACCUCAGAAGGUGGACAUAACCCCAACGCCUCAAUUCUCAUUGUUUACAACACACGUGACAAUCUCUCUUUAUUUUGCUAUUUUCAGUUCUUACAUUCUUGUUUUGGUUACAUACUACAAUCCCCC
rnacentral:lncRNA from 1 species